GGGCCUGUAGCUCAGCUGGGAGAGCGCCUGACUGGCAGUCAGGAGGUCAGGGGUUCGAUCCCCCUCAGGUCCACCA
rnacentral:tRNA from 1 species